GUGCUCGCUUCGACAGCACAUAUACUAAAAUUGGAACGAUACAGAGAAGAUUAGCAUGGCCCCUGUGCAAGGAUGAACCCUGGUUGGCCACAUGCAAGGCAAGUGUCU